ensembl:snRNA U4 U4 spliceosomal RNA
AGAUUUGCUUAGUGGCAGUAUCAUAGCCAAAGGAAUGAUUAUUGCUAAUUGAAAACUUUUCCUAAUACCCUGCCAUGAUGACUUGAAAUAUAGUCUUGAAAUAUAGUCAGCAUUGGCAAUUUUGAGUCUCUAUGGAA